AGAUCUUGGAAACUGGACCCCAGAUCAGUAGAUGCAGACAUGCACAUGCAGACGAAACACCAGCGCCAUGCAUGGGGCCCAAUCUCACCAUGGAAAUGCCAAAGCACACAGCUCAAGCCAUGCUGCCAUCCACAUGACGUGCGGCCAGGCUCGUUGCUGUCGGCGGUUCUGAAGACAGCGGUUCGAUCCAGCUGAAGGACGUCACCUGGCAGGAAGUUGCAGAGUGAGGUGGCCAGUAUCAAGCCACAUUGUCCAGAAACCAUCACAUUAUCUCCAGGUCACUAGUCGCCGGUGCUCGAGCUGACGGCGUCGUUCAAGGGCUCCACGGUGACAAGCGCCGUCACCGCUGCCGCCGCCGCCGAGACCAUCUUACUCCUGGGCCCUGUUUCACGGCAGCGUACUGCAGCGCGCUACGCAGCGCUGCUGUGUUAGUGCGGCGAUUGAGACGAAUUCGGCUCGACGCUCCAGCGUUGCGAAACACCCGUGUCUAUGAAGGAUACGCCGAUACGUCCCCCAGCUUCAAGCCCUUCCCGCCCCCCCCCCCCCCCCGCCCCGUCUCAACGGUGUUGGCCGAGAUUGGGGUUUGGUAUUUUAACGGGCUCUCCGGUGACGUCCCGCAAUUUGUGUUAUGUAAAUUGACGAUUAUGUCGUCUCAUUCUGUCUCGAUAUGCUAAUAAAUGAUAAAUGGGACCGGGGACGGAGGUUGGAAGUAAGGUGUGAGUGGCUGUAACCGGCAGGUUUUGGCGAGCGCGAUAUUAGUUAUCGUGAGCGCGCCAGCUGCAAUCAAUCGCGCGCUUGCG